rnacentral:lncRNA from 10 species
GGUCUACAUAGUCUGAAAAUUCUAAAAGAAUGCUGUUUAAAUUUUGUUUUUAUUUCAAUGAUUUCUAUGUGCAUAUACACGUAUUUUAAGUCAUGAGUAACCACCAUAUAACUGAGUUCUACUACAACCUUUCAGUGCUGUUUGCUUUUUACAAUUAUACAAUUGCAUUCUAAAAUCAUUACAUAAUAGAUUUAACUUUUAUUUUAAUAUAUUGUUUAUCAUAUUGAAACAUGCAAAAACUCUGCAAGAUCACUUAUUCUUGGAAUUCUGGAGUAUCUCAGAUAUAUCUCCUUUUUUUGUGAUGGGGAGUUGUCGGCACAUUACUCAAGUUUGAAAAUACAAAUAUGUAUUAUUUAAGAAACAUAACACAUUACACAGAGAUGUGACUGGGAUGAGGUGAGUGAGGCACAUGCCUCAGGUACAAAAUUAAGGGGGCACCAAAAACCUCAGUAAUGAAGAUAAUAUUUUAACACAGUAUUUUUAAAAAUCAAAUUUAUGCAAGGUCCAUGAAGAGCAAAAUAUCAAAUUUUUAAAUAAAUACCAAAUCAGUAUUACUGAUUUUUUCCUUCUGCCUCCGGCUCCAAUGGCACCAAGAUUUUAUAACCACAACACAAUGUUGGUCCAUUUAAUGUUUCCGCAUAUUCAGUACAAUCAGUAAUGCCACGAUGAAUAUCUCUGUGAAUAUUCAUACUCCCAUAUUUAGGAUUAUCUCCUAAGAAAAGAAUUCCUGAAGUGGAACUACUAGGUAAAAAGGUACAUAGUAAAGGUUCUUGAUACAUAAUGACAGGUUGUUUUCCUCCCCAAAAAAUGUUCUUAAUUAUAUUUACUCCAGUAAUUUAUGAAAAAAACACCAUUUAAAAGUAUUUUCCCACUUUGUUUCAAUUUGCAGCUAUUUUUAAUGUUCAUUUACAAAAAGUACAUUAUAAUGGAACACUAUUAACUCUCAGUAGCAUUUGUUAUCAACAUUUCCUCAAUAUGUACGUUAAGUUAAAAUUUUAUAUAUUUGUUUCCAUUUUUGUGCCAAAAAAAUCUGACAGUCUUUACCUUUGUGAUUUCUUCUAUCUCUUACAAAGUUUUAUUUCCACAUUAAAAGAAUAAGAAAAUAGUUUCAUUUUUAUAAUAAUACAUUCAUUUACUCCAGGGAUCAGCAAACUUUAUCUGUAAGGGACCAGAUAGCAAAUAUUUUUGACUUUGCAGGCCAUAUGGUCUCUGUCCCAACUACUCAACUCUGCUCUGGUGGAGCAAAAGCACCCACAUAAUAUGUAAAUGAAUGAAUGUGGCAAUGUUCAAAUAAAACUUUAUUUAUGAAAGCAGUGGGUGGAAAAACAAAAAAAA